rnacentral:lncRNA from 1 species
CUCAGGCCUUCCUGCGGCCUCGGCCUCCUCCCCCCGCCCUCUUCCCCUCCAUCCUCUUCCUCCUUUUCCCAUUCUCCCACUCUCUCCCGUUGGCCUGGCCGAGCUGGUGGAGAGAGCCCUCCUACCUUUCCAUUCUCGAGAAGAAGCUGCCCUUUGCCUGGUCUAUGUUUGCAAAUUUUCUUUGAAAAUAAGGAAAGUUCAGAAAACAGCAUCACAGCAGAAUUUACAAAUGUCUGUAUUGGGUCAUGUUUGCUUCAGGGUUUCUCUGUGGCUUUGGAGGCUGUCCUAGAACUGGCUCUUGUACACCAGGCUGGUCUCGAACUCACAGAGAUCUGCCUGCCUCCGCCUCCUGAGUGCUGGGAUUAA